UUGAUCUCAUAGAUAUUAUAACCUACAACAAACCACCACUGCCACAGGAUCCGACUACAGCCUCACCAUCUUUCAAACACUGCAGAGCAACAUCUCCUGUCCAUUAGGCUACUCCCUGGACUACAGCCCAUCUGUUUGGAGUACCAGAGGACUCACCAUGUGGCUAAAAGGUUUUAUAAGUAACCAUGUCAACAUGAAACUUCUGAAGACCUGUGUCAUCCUUCUCCUUCUGACUGUGUUGUUCUUUGUACUAAGAAACAUGGACCUGCUGCAGGCACACCUCAGGUCA